AAAAAUAAAAAAAUAUAUUAUUUUAAUAUAUUUUCAUGUAAAAUAACAUUUAAAAAAAUAAUAUUAUCACUCUAUUAAAUAAAUAAUCGACUCAAAAUAAAAAAUAUUACGUGAUAUUGUCAAGUUUUUAAGGUAUCAUUUUGGUAAUAAUUAAAUUGCCAGUCCACGUACGUAUUGUCCAAUUGCCAUCGUGCAUAAAAUAGUAAAUAUACAAAAAGGAUUUUACAUUGGUCAUGAUUUUAUAAAAUAUUUAUAAAAAUAUUAUAGUUAAAAUGCUAUUUUUUUUUAAUAAAAAAAACCAUAAAUAGCGUGGGAAAAUUAUUAGCAGGAAAUAAACAUGACUGCAGUGUCAAGAUCUAUGCCUGCAGGGUGCAGAGUGCUAUGGGCGCAGGUGCUGAGGAUCGCCGUCACUUUCAAAUCACGGGAUCCGGGACGGAAGGAUCAGAAGGCGUAAGGGAUUUCUUGCUUAAAAGACCAGCUGUUUUGAUGAUGAAUCGCGCAGGAAGUUUCUUUUCAGAUUGUACGGUACAGUUCAGUUGAGAAUAUCAGAAAUAAAAAGGGAGAGAAGACAAUUUCUUGACCAAUUUAAUUUCCCAAUUUCUCACAAGAACUGUAAGCGAAUGGGAUGAGAAAGACAGAGAGUCAUAAUAUAUCGAUAUCAAGUCAAGAUCA